rnacentral:rRNA from 1 species
GAUGAACGCUGGCGGCGUGCCUAAUACAUGCAAGUCGAGCGAACGGACGAGAAGCUUGCUUCUCUGAUGUUAGCGGCGGACGGGUGAGUAACACGUGGAUAACCUACCUAUAAGACUGGGAUAACUUCGGGAAACCGUAGCUAAUACCGGAUAAUAUUUUGAACCGCAUGGUUCAAAAGUGAAAGACGGUCUUGCUGUCACUUAUAGAUGGAUCCGCGCUGCAUUAGCUAGUUGGUAAGGUAACGGCUUACCAAGGCAACGAUGCAUAGCCGACCUGAGAGGGUGAUCGGCCACACUGGGACUGAGACACGGUCCAGACUCCUACGGGAGGCAGCAGUAGGGAAUCUUCCGCAAUGGGCGAAAGCCUGACGGAGCAACGCCGCGUGAGUGAUGAAGGUCUUCGGAUCGUAAAACGCUGUUAUUAGGGAAGAACAUAUGUGUAAGUAACUGUGCACAUCUUGACGGUACCUAAUCAGAAAGCCACGGCUAACUACGUG